AGCAGCCGCGGUAAUUCCAGCUCCAAUAGCGUAUAUUAAAGUUGUUGCAGUUAAAAAGCUCGUAGUUGAAUUUCGGGGUUAGUAGGUUGGUCAUGCCUCUGGUAUGUACUGGUCUCACUGAUUCCUCCUUCCUGAUGAGCCGUAAUGCCAUUAAUUUGGUGUUGCGAGGAAUUUGGACUGUUACUUUGAAAAAAAUUAGAGUGUUUAAAGCAAGCUAACGCUUGAAUACAUUAGCAUGGAAUAAUGAAAUAGGACGUUCGAUCCUAUUUUGUUGGUUUCUAGGAUUGACGUAAUGAUUAAUAGGGAUAGUUGGGGGCAUUAGUAUUCAAUUGUCAGAGGUGAAAUUCUUGGAUUUAUUGAAGACUAACUACUGCGAAAGCAUUUGCCAAGGAUGUUUUCAUUAAUCAAGAACGAAAGUUAGGGGAUCGAAGACGAUCAGAUACCGUCGUAGUCUUAACCAUAAACUAUGCCGACUAGGGAUCGGAUGAUGUUAAUUUUUUAAUGACUCAUUCGGCGCCUU
rnacentral:misc_RNA from 1 species